rnacentral:lncRNA from 1 species
CAGAUGGCAAGCCCAUCAAACCUUGGUGCCAUGGCUGCCCUGGUAAUUCCUGGCUGACCAGUGCAACCAGGGAGCUGGCCCAUGACCUGGGUGGCAGCUGAGUAGCCAGGACUCAUGCGGCCAAGAGUCAGCCUUCUUCCUGUGACUCAUCCAGGUGCACCCUGCGACAUCUGAAGGUCAGGCUUUCAGCCGCUGUGGCUUCCACUUCCAACUGGCUCCACGUCCCCAGGGAGGGAUCACAUAGAGCUUUGCCAACACAUUCUAUUGCGUGUUUUAAUGUUCCUGUGAAUGCGCCCUUGAGAUUUCUCCCUCCCCCGUCCACACUGAGCUUAGAAGCAAAGUUAAGAGACUCAUCAGAUUCUGAGCUGCUGCGGGAUAUUUUGCAGAAGACUGUGAAGCAUCCUGUGUGUGUGUGAAGCACCCGCCGUCAGUCAAGUAUGCCCGGUGCUUUCUCUCAGAACUCAUCAAAAAGCCCUCGGGAGGCUCGGUCACAAUCUCCGAGAGCACAGCCAUCAUCUCUCACGGUACCACAGGCCUGGUCACAUGGGACGCCACCCUCUGCCUUGCAGAAUGGGCCAUCGAGAACCCAGCAGCCUUCACUAACAGGUGACCUCGGGGCACAGGGCAGGGCACCAAGGCAGGCUUACCCUGGUGCAGUCGAAGACACGGUCCCCUUUCCUCCCGCCAGGACUGUCCUAGAACUUGGCAGUGGUGCCGGCCUCACAGGCCUUGCCAUCUGCAAGAUGUGCCGCCCCCGGGCAUACAUCUUCAGCGACCCUCACAGCCGGGUCCUCGAGCAGCUCCAAGGGAAUGUCUUUCUCAAUGGCCUCUCAUUAGAGGCAGACAUCACUGCCAACUUAGACAGCCCCAGGGUGACAGUGGCCCAGCUGGACUGGGACGUAGCGACGGUCCAUCAGCUCUCUGCCUUCCAGCCAGAUGUUGUCAUUGCAGCAGGUAAUGCCCAGCCCC